rnacentral:rRNA from 1 species
AAGACCUUGCACUUUUGGAGCGGCCGAUGUCUGAUUAGCUAGUUGGUGGGGUAAUGGCCUACCAAGGCUUCGAUCAGUAGCUGGUCUGAGAGGACGGCCAGCCACACUGGGACUGAGACACGGCCCAGACUCCUACGGGAGGCAGCAGUGGGGAAUUUUGGACAAUGGGGGCAACCCUGAUCCAGCCAUGCCGCGUGAGUGAAGAAGGCCUUCGGGUUGUAAAGCUCUUUCAGCCGGAACGAAACGGUUACGAUUAAUACCCGUAACUACUGACGGUACCGGAAGAAGAAGCACCGGCUAACUACGUGCCAGCAGCCGCGGUAAUACGUAGGGUGCGAGCGUUAAUCGGAAUUACUGGGCGUAAAGCGUGCGCAGGUGGUUUUGUAAGUCAGAUGUGAAAUCCCCGGGCUUAACCUGGGAACU